rnacentral:rRNA from 1 species
AACGCUAGCUACAGGCUUAACACAUGCAAGUCGAGGGGAAACGAUAUUGGAAGCUUGCUUCCGAUAGGCGUCGACCGGCGUACGGGUGAGUAACGCGUAUCCAACCUGCCCAUCACUUGGGGAUAACCUUGCGAAAGUAAGACUAAUACCCAAUGACGUCUCUAGAAGACAUCUGAAGGAGAUUAAAGAUUUAUCGGUGAUGGAUGGGGAUGCGUCUGAUUAGCUUGUUGGCGGGGUAACGGCCCACCAAGGCGACGAUCAGUAGGGGUUCUGAGAGGAAGGUCCCCCACAUUGGAACUGAGACACGGUCCAAACUCCUACGGGAGGCAGCAGUGAGGAAUAUUGGUCAAUGGGCGAGAGCCUGAACCAGCCAAGUAGCGUGCAGGAUGACGGCCCUAUGGGUUGUAAACUGCUUUUAUAAGGGAAUAAAGUGAGUCUCGUGAGACUUUUUGCAUGUACCUUAUGAAUAAGGACCGGCUAAUUCCGUGCCAGCAGCCGCGGUAAUACGGAAGGUCCGGGCGUUAUCCGGAUUUAUUGGGUUUAAAGGGAGCGUAGGCCGGAGAUUAAGCGUGUUGUGAAAUGUAGACGCUCAACGUCUGCACUGCAGCGCGAACUGGUUUCCUUGAGUACGCACAAAGUGGGCGGAAUUCGUGGUGUAGCGGUGAAAUGCUUAGAUAUCACGAAGAACUCCGAUUG